CUGACACCCAGAGCUCUUCAAUAAAACACCUUCAUUUAAUCAUUCUGUGAUUAUGUGUGUUCCUGAACACUAACACUUUGGUGACCCCAGAUGGGACCUUGUGAGUGCUGCUGAGUGAACUCGCAACCCGAUCACGCUCCAGCCAGCACCGAGGGAUUCUCAGGGACCCUAUCAGCUGCGACCGUCUCUGCUGCUCACAACAUCCUUAGGAGAGAAAGGAAAGUCGGAAACUGCUUGCCUUUGAGUGGGAAAAUCCAGAAAAUGGAAGGAAAACUCAGCUCACCUGAACACGACUCCCACAAGGAACCAAAACAGCCCAACCCUAUUUGGAAGCCAGCUGGCUAAGGAGCUGGAGAUUUGGAUCGAAAACGGGCAAGUACGGAGAGAACAAUACCUGCUGUUACAGUGUGUUGAUGAUAUACUGACAGCUACAGAAGAGAAAACAACCUGCAUAAAGGUAACAAUUGAAAUUUUAAAUCAGCUGGGAAUGGGAGGAUAUAAGGUGUAUAAAGAAAAAGGCACAAAUUGCCCAACAAACUGUGAUUUACCUGAGAUGUGAAAUCUCACAAAGGCAACGUAAACUGGGUACUAAUCAUAUUCAAGCUAUUUGUGCUAUUUCAGAACCCCAGAACCUGCAUGAGCUACAAGUUUCCUUGGGAUGACAGGGUGGUGCCUCCUGUGGAUCAUGGACUAUGGACUAAUUGUAAAAUCCCUGUAUGAAGCCCAUAAGACACAGCUGUUUACCUGGAGCAAACCACAGAAGGAGACCUUCCUCAAACUGAAGGAGGCAUUGACAACUGCUCCGGCAUUAGGAUUGCCUGAUUUAUCCAAAGAUAUUCAGCUGUUUGGCGAUGAAAGACCACACCUAGCACUGGGAGUGCUGACCCAACCUUUGGGAAGCUGGAAAAGGCUGGUAGGCUGCUUCUCCAAACAACUUGACAACGAGAGUGCUGGAUGGCCUUCAUGCCUGUGGGCAGUUGCAGCCACCGUGAUGCUGAUACAAGAGGCUA